GCCUUGUAGGCUAUUAUGAAGACUCUGUCCAAUGGGGAGUCACUGGAGGGUCCUGAGCAGAGGAAUGUGAGAGGUUGAACAUAUGAAGGGAAAAUAUAUAAAACAGAACCCACAACCUGCCACCACCUACCCAGGAAACUAAACCCUUCAUCUACAAUAAAUAGUCCAGGAAUCCAGGGUGCUGUAAGUCAGACUCACAGAGGAAGCCAGAUGCUGUCUCUAGCAAUAAUCUAGGGAGCAAAAAAACUUCUGUAGCAUAUAGCCCCAAAUGGUAAGGACUUUAUUAAUAACUGGCAGCUUCCCUAAUGUUUGUCCCUAAUUCCAAGUUAGGACGAACCAGAGAAAGACAAAUGUGCACCCCCAAUCCCAUAAAGUACCACUCAUAAUUACCCUCUUCAGCUUCCCCAUGCCUAUAGCCUCCUUCACACCUGAAACCCUCCUGUUUUUCCACUGUAAGAUUUCCCACCCUUCUGUCUGUCUUCCAGUCGCUGUCAAAAUGCAAGCUCUGGUGGUCAAGUCCCUUGUUAUGGCAAUUUCUGAAUAAAUAGGUUUUGUGUUUCUCAUUUGAUUGGUUUUUAGUUAUUUCUGCAAAUGAAAAACUCUAUAUUACAUUUUUAAAAUCUGCUCUCUUGAGAAUAGACUGUAAAAACAGAAAGACCCACUGAGAAUCUGUUGCAAUAGUUUAGACAAGAGACAAG
rnacentral:lncRNA from 1 species